UACAGAGGGGGCAAGCGUUGUUCGGAAUUACUGGGCGUAAAGGGCGCGUAGGCGGCCUGUUAAGUCGAACGUGAAAUCCCCGGGCUCAACCCGGGAACUGCGUCCGAUACUGGCAGGCUUGAAUUCGGGAGAGGGAUGUGGAAUUCCAGGUGUAGCGGUGAAAUGCGUAGAUAUCAAGAGGAAUACCUGAGGUGAAGACGGGUUGCUAGGCCGACACUGACGCUGAAGCGCGAAAGCCAGGGGAGCAAACGGG
rnacentral:rRNA from 1 species